CCUACGGGUGGCUGCAGUAGGGAAUAUUGGACAAUGGGCGAAAGCCUGAUCCAGCCAUGCCGCGUGAUAGAUGAAGGCCCUCUGGGUUGUAAAUCUCUUUUAUCUGGGAAGAAACACUCUUAUUCUUAAGAUCUUGACGGUACCAGAGGAAUAAGCACCGGCUAACUCCGUGCCAGCAGCCGCGGUAAUACGGAGGGUGCAGGCGUUAUCCGGAUUCACGGGGGCUAAGGGGUGCGUAGGCGGCCGUGGUGAAAGCUCCGAGCUUAACUUGGAAACUGCCAUUGAUACUGCCAGGCUUGAAUGUCGUAGAGGGAAGCGGAAUGUUGCAUGUAGCGGUGAAAUGCUUAGAUAUGUUACAGAACACCAAUUGCGAAGGCAGCUUACUAUGCGAUGAUUGACGCUGAGGCACGAAAGCGUGGGGAGCAAACAGGAUUAGAUACCCCAGUAGUC
rnacentral:rRNA from 1 species